rfam:Ciona savignyi cont_37073, whole genome shotgun sequence.
ACUGGGUUGGCCGAGUGGUUAAGGCGUUGGACUUAAGUUCCAAUGGACAAGUGUAUGCGUGGGUUCGAACCCCACACCCAGUA